UAACAUGUCAGUGACAAUUAGUUAUAUAGUCUAGCCUGCCCACUGAUUUAUUUAAAGGGCCGCGGUAAUUUGACCGUGCGAACGUAGCAUAGUGUGUAGUCUUUUAAUUCGAGGCUUGAAUGAAUGGUUGGACGAGGGAUAAACUGUCUCCUUAGCGGCGUUUGAAUAUAACUAAUGAGUGAAUAGGCUCAAAUUGUUUAGGGGGACGAUAAGACCCUAUAAAACUUAAUAUAAUUUAGGCUUAACAUGCGAUCAGGGUGAAAAGUAGUAUUGUCUGGUUUAUAUUUCGUUGGGGAGAUGAAGAUAUAAUGAGUAACUGUCUAUAAAAUUAUAAUGCAUUGACUAGAAUUUGAUCCUUCCUUGGGGAUUAGCAGAAUAAGUUACUUUAGGGAUAACAGCGUGAUUUUCUAUGACUGUUGUUAUCGACAAGAGUAGUUGCGACCUCGAUGUUGAAUUAAAAUUUCAGCUAGGUGUAGCCGUUUAGCUGGUGCGUG
rnacentral:rRNA from 1 species